AUUGAACGCUGGCGGCAUGCUUUACACAUGCAAGUCGAACGGUAACAGGUUAAGCUGACGAGUGGCGAACGGGUGAGUAAUGCAUCGGAACGUGCCCGGUCGUGGGGGAUAACGCAGCGAAAGCUGCGCUAAUACCGCAUACGAUCUGAGGAUGAAAGCGGGGGACCGUAAGGCCUCGCGCGAUCGGAGCGGCCGAUGUCAGAUUAGGUAGUUGGUGGGGUAAAGGCUCACCAAGCCGACGAUCUGUAGCUGGUCUGAGAGGACGACCAGCCACACUGGGACUGAGACACGGCCCAGACUCCUACGGGAGGCAGCAGUGGGGAAUUUUGGACAAUGGGCGCAAGCCUGAUCCAGCAAUGCCGCGUGCAGGAAGAAGGCCUUCGGGUUGUAAACUGCUUUUGUACGGAGCGAAAAGGCUCUCUCUAAUACAGGGGGCUCAUGACGGUACCGUAAGAAUAAGCACCGGCUAACUACGUGCCAGCAGCCGCGGUAA
rnacentral:rRNA from 1 species